UGAAAACCUAGACUAAAGAGGAUUGUACGAAGUUGUAAUCUUCCCCUUUCUGUGCCUCUUCCUAGCUGUGAAUUUUGCCAUAUGAUCAGCAAUAACGACAAGAGCAUCUGUAGUUUUCUCUUCAUCAGUAUCAUUCGGGCAAUCUGUUUGGUUCUGAUACUCAAUGUCAUGUUUAUCCAGAUCAAGUAGUCUUCUUCCAUGUGUAGGUAAUUUAAAAGGAGCCAACUUCCAACAUUCUCGAAAGCAUAAUUAGCUAGAAAAUCAGGC
rnacentral:lncRNA from 1 species